GGACACUUGUGCUUGCCAUGAUGAGUGAGCAUGUCACGGUAACAAGGGCAAAGAUCUUGGUUCCCAGAGGUGCCUGGAGGCACACAAUUACAACGAGUGCAACAAGUCCCACAUGCUCUCAAACACAUUUUAUGUCUUGAUGCUAGACUACAUCUUGCCUCACAUGCUGUUCCACACUCUGAUGUAGGGAUGUAAGUAGGGUUGUUAGCACCCUCUGGUCCAGCCGUGUGCACCGCUAAAUUGUCACCGUCACCGUUGCCAUUAGCUUCCACAGGACGAAAAACAAGUAGAGAAAUCAAAACCAUAGUAACAAGAAGAAAUUUGGAGAUGGCCAUGGCUAACACACAUUAAAA
rnacentral:misc_RNA from 1 species